CCAACAUGUGGCUGUACUGGAGUCUCUCUGAAUAUGGCAUCUGAAGUGAGAUCCAAAGUGGAGCUUACAGAGACCUCCAGGAGCACUGAAUGGCCAAGACAGGCUACCUGCUAGGCCCAUGGUGUCCACUGCUUUUGUGCAGCAACUGGGGCACGGAAAGGGGUGGGAAAUCCCUGGAGCUGCAGGUUCCUCCCUGUUUUAGACUAUAUAAGUUUUUAGCCUCUGAAUUAAGAGUUCUGCAUAGGUAGCCAUGGUGAAGUCUGGAAACACGUUCUCAGUGCCUCAACCAGCAGCUACAAGUCAGAGUCAAGCCCAUUAUGACCCCUUCUUCCUGCCUGAGCUUUGGCCCCAGAUAUUCUGAGAGGGGUUGGAUCCUCCAGGGCAUCGACCUCACAGCUCUGUCUUCUGUCCUGAGCUCUUCUCCUGGCAUGUAAAUUCAGGACUCAGAUAAGCCCUGCCCUUCAUAGCCACCUUGGAUGCUGCGUGACUACCUGUGAGUCAGGAGGACUGGAAAAGACAUUAGGGAGGGUACCUGUGUCCUACUUUCAAAAUGUUUUUCAGUAAUUUUAAAUCUUAAAGUGAUGUUAUGUUAAAGCAUAAUCAUAAAAUGGGAGUCAUUUGUAAGUUAAAAAAUAUUAAAACAUUAAUUACCAAACCUAAGUUUAAGUUUAUAUAGUUUGGCAUCUUAUUUUUGUAUGGUAUAGAGAAGCUAAAUAUAUUUACGUCUGUUAAUAAAAUAUAGGAAGAAACAUCUUUCUAAAAUUUAUAGAAUAAUUUAAUAAUUUUUAUCUGCAAAUACUGAUAUAAAACAGUUCAAAAUUACUUCCUAGGGAUUUCACUAAAAACUAGGGUUAAAGAGUUCAUGUAGUUAAUAUAUGUAAUUAAAACAACUAGAUGUAAGAAAAACAAUUCUGUAUAGUAUAUAAAAGCAAGAUAUGCUUUUGAUGAUGGAAGUUAUAAAGGCAUAAAAUGUAUGUUUGUUAAAAAAAAAUUUGUCUAGGCGAAGUUACUAGAGUUGCCUAGUUUGAAGUUUGUCCAGUUUGAAGUUAGUUAAAGGUUACUUAAGUUACUUAAAGGUUGUUUCAAAUUGAAGGAAUAAAAGGAAUGUAGAUAAAAUUAAAAUAUAAAAAGUUGAAAAAAUUUUUAAUUGUACGAGAUUAUAAAAGGGUUAUGGGAAUCUGGUGUGGUCAAAAGCUGACUGACAUUGAAUGAGUUUGUUUAUAAGGUUUUAUUAAAAUUAGCUUUAUUGAUAAUACACUAAUGCAAAAGUAAAAUUUGGUUUUCUCUUUUGAACAAAAAUUUCUUAUAGUGUUAAUAGUGAUAGCAAGAUAUUUUUGUUUACCUUUUGAGUAAACUGCAAAAAAUAAAAAAAGAGAGAGAGAGACAGAUUCUGCCUCACGCUGUCUUUCUCAGGUCUUUAGAUUGUUUGGAAAACUGCGUCUCCUCUAUCAGAGAGUAAUGUUUUUGCUUUUUAAAAUCUUUUCGUUAUCACUUUACCUAAAUAAAUGACUACUAUUUUAUGAUGACCUGUGACCCUAUUUUGAUCAAGUGUUUUAAACCUUUUAUAUUUGUUUGACAGGCUUCCCAAAAUCAAAUUUCCACUUCAAAAUUAAGUCUCUUUUGACCUUGAAUUUUAGAAUACUACAGAGAGCCCCUGAAGCCUCCAUAAGAGAGUUAACGGGAUUGAUAUGUUAAAUCAUAUGGAAAGCAUUGCCAAAUAAUAAAUGAUGUUUAACCUUCU
rnacentral:lncRNA from 10 species